GACGAACGCUGGCGGCGUGCCUAAUACAUGCAAGUCGAGCGGAACUGGGGGAGCUUGCUCCUUCCAGUUUAGCGGCGGACGGGUGAGUAACACGUGGGCAACCUGCCCUGCAGAUCGGGAUAACUCCGGGAAACCGGUGCUAAUACCGAAUAGUUUGGCGCCUCUCCUGAGGCGCUACGGAAAGCCGGUUUCGGCUGUCACUGCAGGAUGGGCCCGCGGCGCAUUAGCUAGUCGGUGGGGUAACGGCCCACCAAGGCGACGAUGCGUAGCCGACCUGAGAGGGUGACCGGCCACACUGGGACUGAGACACGGCCCAGACUCCUACGGGGGGCAGCAGUAGGGAAUCUUCCGCAAUGGACGCAAGUCUGACGGAGCAACGCCGCGUGAGUGACGAAGGUUUUCGGAUCGUAAAACUCUGUUGUGAGGGAAGAACACGUACCAACUAACUAUUGGUACCUUGACGGUACCUCACCAGAAAGCCACGGCUAACUACGUGCCAGCAGCCGCAGUAA
rnacentral:rRNA from 1 species